AUUGAACGCUGGCGGCAGGCCUAACACAUGCAAGUCGAACGGUAGCACAGAGAGCUUGCUCUCGGGUGACGAGUGGCGGACGGGUGAGUAAUGUCUGGGAAACUGCCCGAUGGAGGGGGAUAACUACUGGAAACGGUAGCUAAUACCGCAUAACGUCUUCGGACCAAAGUGGGGGACCUUCGGGCCUCACACCAUCGGAUGUGCCCAGAUGGGAUUAGCUAGUAGGUGGGGUAAUGGCUCACCUAGGCGACGAUCCCUAGCUGGUCUGAGAGGAUGACCAGCCACACUGGAACUGAGACACGGUCCAGACUCCUACGGGAGGCAGCAGUGGGGAAUAUUGCACAAUGGGCGCAAGCCUGAUGCAGCCAUGCCGCGUGUAUGAAGAAGGCCUUCGGGUUGUAAAGUACUUUCAGCGGGGAGGAAGGCGGUGAAGUUAAUAGCUUCAUCGAUUGACGUUACCCGCAGAAGAAGCACCGGCUAACUACGUGCCAGCAGCCGCAGUAA
rnacentral:rRNA from 1 species